GACUCUGUAGCUCAGCUGGUUAGAACGCUGCACCGGAAUUGCAGGGCCGCAGGUACGAUUCCUGCGAGAGGGC